GCUCCCAUAGUGUAGUGGUCACUACGCUUGCCUUGCACGCAGGAGACCCGGGUUCGAUUCCCGGCGGGGUA
rnacentral:tRNA from 1 species